rnacentral:misc_RNA from 1 species
GCGAUAUUGUAUGUUGUUGAUGCCGCUGAUAGAGACAGUGUACCUAUAACAAGAACCGAGUUACAUGAACUUUUGAAGAAACCUUCAUUAACUGGAAUUCCUCUGCUCAUCUUGGGAAACAAAAUUGACAAAUCAGAAGCUCUUUCGCAGCAGUCAUUGGUUGAUCAACUAGGUCUCGACUCAAUAACGGAUAGAGAAGUCUGCUGCUACAUGAUUUCGUGCAAGGAUUCUGUAAAUAUCGAUGCUGUUAUCGAUUGGCUAAUCAAGCACUCAAAGACCGCGAAAUAAAGAGCUGCCUCCGGGAUAUAAUAAUCUGGAAAAAUAGAAUAUAGUUCUUUCUGAGGAUCUUGAAAUGAUCUGUUAAUAUAUUUUCUGGCUGGUCUGUCUUUUGUUAGUUCUAUAUAGUCUUUUUUAAUUACAAUUCUGUGCUAUAAAGUGCUUUGAACAAUCAUACAU